CCUACGGGCGGCAGCAGUGGGGAAUAUUGGACAAUGGGGGGAACCCUGAUCCAGCCAUGCCGCGUGUGUGAAGAAGGCCCUCGGGUUGUAAAGCACUUUCAGUGAGGAAGAACGCCUGGUGGUUAAUACCCAUCAGGAAAGACAUCACUCACAGAAGAAGCACCGGCUAACUCCGUUCCAGCAGCCGCGGUAAUACGGAGGGUGCGAGCGUUAAUCGGAAUUACUGGGCGUAAAGCGCGCGUAGGUGGCUUGAUAAGCCGGUUGUGAAAGCCCCGGGCUCAACCUGGGAACGGCAUCCGGAACUGUCAAGCUAGAGUGCAGGAGAGGAAGGUAGAAUUCCCGGUGUAGCGGUGAAAUGCGUAGAGAUCGGGAGGAAUACCAGUGGCGAAGGCGGCCUUCUGGACUGACACUGACACUGAGGUGCGAAAGCGUGGGUAGCAAACAGGAUUAGAUACCCCAGUAGUC
rnacentral:rRNA from 1 species